AAGUCGUAACAAGGUUUCCGUAGGUGAACCUGCGGAAGGAUCAUUACCAAAAUUUCCACAAUUUCGUUGGUUAAAUAACCAAUGUUAUACGCCAUUGCAAAACUGUUGCCAGGUCUUUGGCGGUUUGGUUUAAUUAUGAGAUGUUACUAAUAGUAUUAUUAGCGCAGUGGAGGGGGAAGGUUAUUCUUUUUCUUUCCAACUGCGUGAAAUUGUAUUAUCUUGGUACAUCCCAAUAAUGAGAAUGGUUUAUUCUCGACCCCGCCAGAGUUACCAAAAUCUUUAUUCUACUACUUUGUGUUUCUAUUUUACUGUCGUACAAUUGCGUAUUUAUUUUGAAAAAUAAAAGACCAACUUUUGACAACGGAUCUCUUGGUUCUC
rnacentral:misc_RNA from 1 species